rnacentral:lncRNA from 1 species
GGUGAUAGGGUGAUAUUGGAGAGAAAGAAGAGGAUGAAAGGAUAUUACUAUUUGAUGGAGAGUCCAGUAUAAGGUGGAGCUUCAGGAGCUAGGGAGAGUCCUGAGCGAGGUGGAGCUUUAAAUGAAGGUGGAUCAGCACGAGAUGCGAGACUUGAGAGGAUGAGAGGCGAUAUCGCAAGGUGGGAUUCGUAUUACCAUAGAAGACUAUCCCGAGC